CGAAAUAAAAGACGUUUGAACUAUUUCAGAAUACGUCCUUUCUUCUAAGGAAGCAGUCAGGUUUGAUCCCAGCAGGUGUUUUCUGUCGCAGGAGUGGACCCCGGCCUUCGCUCCUUCAGAGCAUCAGCGAUGGUGAUGUUGGACGGCGUGGCGUAGAUGUCAUCGCGUGACGGAGCGGUGAUGACGAUGAGAGGCGUACGCUCAGCAGUCUGGACCGCCUCCAUCUCAGUGUUGGGCUGUGACGAGAGGGGACUCUCUGACACUGAGAGACGGGGAAGAACCGCAAGAUGUUGAGCUUUUUAAACAGGAGAGCGUCCUUCAUCACCUCGUCAAACUCCUCCCCCUCGUU